GCCGGGGUGGCGGAACUGGUAGACGCGCCGGAUUCAAAAUCCGGUUCCUUCACGGGAGUGUCGGUUCGAUUCCGACCCUCGGUACUA
rnacentral:tRNA from 1 species